rnacentral:rRNA from 1 species
UACAGAGGUCCCAAGCGUUUGUUCGGAUUCACUGGGCGUAAAGGGUGCGUAGGUGGCGAGGUAAGUCGGAUGUGAAAUCUCCGAGCUCAACUCGGAAAUGGCAUUGGAAACUACCUUGCUCGAGGGUUGGAGGGGGGACUGGAAUGCUUGGUGUAGCAGUGAAAUGCGUAGAUAUCAAGCGGAACACCAGUGGCGAAGGCGAGUCCCUGGACAACUCCUGACACUGAGGCACGAAAGCUAGGGGAGCAAACAGG